UAUCCAGACCUACAUGUUUAAAUAUGACUCUACUCAUGGAUCAUUCAAAGGAAGCAUUAAGGUUGUAGAUGAUUCAACCUUAGAAAUCAAUAGGAAGCAGAUUAAGGUUGUGAGUAAAAGGGUGGAGCCAAGAAAGUAGUUUUAUCAGCUCCAUCAGCUGAUGCUCCCAUGUUUUUGGUUGGAGUAAAUGAGCAUACAUACAAGCCAAACAUGGACAUUGUUUCAAAUGCAAGCUGUACUACCAACUGUCUUGCUCCUCUUGCUAAGGUGUGUGCGUGUGUGUGGAAACAGCAAGCAACAAGAAUAAGAAAUUUCUUUAAAAAGUAACAAAUGAGUUGUCAUUUUUUGAAAUGAUUAGUGAAAUUGCUUCUUUCACUUUAACUUUGUUUGCCUUCCAUGAAGAUUGGGCGAAAAAAGGUCUAGUUGAAGCAGCAAAGAGAAGCUGGUAAGAGGUAUAUUGAGAUGAUUUCUUUGGAGCAAUUCUUGACAACAUUUGUAGUUGAGGCCUUUAGAAUGGAAGAAUGUAUUUCACUAAUUUUUGUAUACAUUUCUUGUUUUGUAUUUAGUGAUAAAGGAAUCUGAAUUUGGCAUAAAUUAUGUUGUAAUAUGAUUUCUUAAGCCUAGACUAGUAGACUAAAUAUU